CUUGAAUAAAUAAAAAGAGUGUUUGGUUAUUAGUAUGGAGGAGAUAAUGAGGUUCUAGGUUAUUGUUAAGUGGUAAUAAAGAGAUUUUUUUUCCCUCUUGUGUAUCUUUAUUUGACAAACAUAUAAAAAAAUUUCAAAUGGCUGGUUCUUCGGCGAAGGGUUUAUUAUGGCAUUCGCAAGUUUUUUAUGAAAUUAGUAGGAAAUUAGCACCACUAGUGCAUGUAGGAAGAGAGAAGGAGCUAUUAAAUCAGUAACUUAUACUUUUUAGUUAGUUCGGAAAUUAAGGCUCAAAAUCGGUAACUAAUGUAAAAGGACACAUGUAAAAGUUGAAAAGUUGUUCAAAAGUGGUGAAGGGUUUUAUGCCUCUUCAAAAUUUAUAAAAGAGGUUUCAUUUGAAAAUGUACAACUUUUAAAAUUGCGUGAUACUUUUAAGGGUUAUUUCACAUUGUUAUGGUUUUGUGAAUCCGUCCUAAAAAUAUUUCAUAAAACUGAAUGUUAUGACCCCUAAUUUUUCAAAAAGAAAAACUGUAGUUCAUUUUUGGAUUUAAAACCUAGAUCCAAAACAAGUUAACAAUUAUUCGAUCCAAAAUAAAAAUUCAAACCCAUGCUUUUUUACCUAACACAAAUUCGAAACUCAACCUUAGAUGCCAAAUUUAAAUCUAGAACCCCGACCUACACUUCUUUUGGGUUGGACCAGUGUAUAUGGGUCGAGAAUAAACCCUGACCCGAUCUUAUAGUUUUGUAUCACCUGGUUUCUUAGUGAAUUGGGAUGAGACCACCGAGUCAACGGCAUGGGACGGUCGACCAAACCAGGUCUGACCGUUCGACUCCCAUGCGCAAGGAAGAUCGCAUGCAACAGCUUCCACCGCCUCUGCUGCUUCAGGCGACUGCACGAGAUUCUGCCAGCAGGCGAGCAGUUUCCCCGGGCGACUGCACGAGAUUCCGUCAGACGGUGCUUUCCAUCUAACACCGUCGGGUGAUUAACAUCGAUCGGGCAAAGUUCCAAUACCAAAGCAGAAAGAGCGAGGGAGCGGACGGCGUCGAGUAUACAACACUCUACAGGUGAGGAGGCUUGGUAGGCGAUCAGCAGGCAACAGUGUGGAUUUCCAAUGCACGGCGUGAAUGACCAGCGUGCAGUGGCAAGGAGAUUCCCGAUGGAGGGCGUGAACAACCGGUGGACUGCAAUCAUUCGAUCAAGGUGUUAUCUCAUUCUCUCUCCAACGGGCAGCAACAAGUGGGUGAAUCUCCCUUCUCUACUUAAACCCCCAUCGAUGAAGAAAGAGCAGCGUUUGAUCAUCUUAAAAAGUUACAAAGCUCUGUCAGUCGGAAUCUCUUGAUCUUCAGCUGCCCUUGCUCUAAAACAGAGUAUCCCGAUAGCUCUGUUCAAACCGAUGCCAUGGUUACCACCAAUGCCCAAAUGCCACCAAAGUGCUCAGGUCAGUUCCUCAUUUUCCUGUGGUUCUGACGAGCCCAAGAUUGACCGGUGUCGUGGCUUCUACCUGCUCGAAUCAUCAGAUCUCCUGCCACUGGUCUGCUUCCUACAGAACCCUUCCCCUAUUCGCACGAGGCAGAGAGUUCCACCUCCAGCGGCUGAUCAUCUGGGUGGCGCUGUCACCUUCAGCAACCAAUCACCGUCAUAUUGCACAGAUUGCACCGCCAGUGUGUUACGGUUCCAUCGGACCGGAGCUCGUUGGAGAAGUGGCCGGAGUCGGCCGGAAUAGCAAGUUUUCCUGUCGCCUGUUCCUGUGGUUGUCAUCCCUACUAUAGCAGGAUACAGCUCUGCUCAACGGGCCAUAUCUUCGGAUCCCAUUGUCGUGUAUUCGCAAGAGUGGGCUCUCUCUCUUCUUGGUUUUCUUGCGGUUCCAACAAGCUAUAGAACGAGCAAAUCCUAGCUGGAAGCAGAAUUUUGUAGGGCUGUGAAGCUGCCCCUGUCUGCAGGGCAGGCUCAAAACGCAGCACUUACAGUCUUGGCUGCAACAACGUCCCCCACUUCGCCCGACCUUGUUGCUGUCUCUCCUUGGCAUCUCCGGACGAACGGUGCUGCUUUUUCGAUAAUAUCUAGUCACGGGGGACCGCUUUAAGAUCUUCCGAAGUAAGAAUUCCUCUCAUUAGGGAGUCUAAGAAGAGAGAGGGAGGAAGACAAAGAUUGGUACACUCACAAUACCCUAAAAAGUAAGGAUAGAGAGGGAGGAAGCAGCGAAUGUAAGAAAAGGAAAGAGGUAAGGGAGAGAGAGAAAGGGGAAAAUGCUGGAGAGGACAAAACACAUACUUCGAUCCAUUCAUCUCCUAUUGCAGAUAUUGUGGAUUGAUUUGACCACGUUUCGAGGAGAAAUUUUAUGUGAGGUGUAUCCAGUUCACUAGUUAUUCAUAAGAACUAGUUCAUGGAAGGAAGAUUAAAGGGGAGCUUCUUAAACAGUUAUGUUCGGCGGAGGCAAGUAACCAUUCUUUUAUGAGAAAAUUAAAGAAUGUGAAAGUUAUGCUCCCAACCUGGAAAAGUUCUAAGUAUAAGGGAGAGAUCAAGAUGGUGAACUUUAGAUUGAGAAGUGUUCCACCUAACUUGAAGAAAGCUGCCAUUAUCGUCAACAAAGAGUUGGGGGUCAACAAUGCCUAGGGCAAUAUCCCAACUCCAAAGAGUGUUGACAAACGUCACUUGGGGAGCACCCUAUUGAUGUCAAGUAUAUACUUAUUUUAGAAUGUACAGAUUUGCGCAAUUUUUUUGUCUCGUAUUGUAUUUCUUUUCUUUGUAAAGAAAAAGUUUAUUUUGAAAAGAGAAGUGUUGUUGUUCACAGCUCUGUGUCACAUUGGGCUUUGAGGAACGAGCGAGUAAAGUAGGGGUGAUGUCAUUCUCCUAUUGGACAUGGAAAAUUGACA